rnacentral:rRNA from 1 species
AUGUACUUCCUGCCUUGGUGCUUCGGGUUCUGCCACAGCUGGCUUCUUCUUCUUCUUGGCCGCCAUUCUGGGGUCGAUUCCUGGUCGCCCCAAGGCCUUGCACUUUUCAGCCUCAUUGUAUCCUUGGACACAUUUAGCAGCAAGAUCCUUCAUGCGCUCACGAGAACCUUUGGCUUCUUCGCGUUUAGUUUGGAAUGCUUCCUUAAGCUCAUGCAUCAUGGUCUGGAAGUUCUGAAUGUUUUCAACAUUGAGCUUGGCCAUGUGCUUCUUGAACCGAGCCUUUUCAUAAUCUAUCUUAUGCUUCAGUUCAACAAUCUUCCGAGCUAG